AUACGGAGGGGACUAGCGUUGUUCGGAAUUACUGGGCGUAAAGCGCACGUAGGCGGAUUUGUAAGUCAGGGGUGAAAUCCCGGGGCUCAACCUCGGAACUGCCUUUGAUACUGCAAAUCUCGAGUCCGGAAGAGGUGAGUGGAAUUCCUAGUGUAGAGGUGAAAUUCGUAGAUAUUAGGAAGAACACCAGUGGCGAAGGCGGCUCACUGGUCCGGUACUGACGCUGAGGUGCGAAAGCGUGGGGAGCAAACAGGA
rnacentral:rRNA from 1 species